rnacentral:rRNA from 1 species
ACUGACUGGAAUAACGCCUGGAAACGGGUGCUAAUGCCGGAUAGGCAACUGGUAGGCAUCUACCGGUUGGGAAAGGUGCAACUGCACCGCAGAUGGAGGAGCCCGCGGCGCAUUAGCUAGUUGGUGGGGUAACGGCUCACCAAGGCAACGAUGCGUAGCCGACCUGAGAGGGUGACCGGCCACACUGGGACUGAGACACGGCCCAGACUCCUACGGGAGGCAGCAGUAGGGAAUCUUCCACAAUGGGCGCAAGCCUGAUGGAGCAACGCCGCGUGAGUGAAGACGGCCUUCGGGUUGUAAAGCUCAGUCACUCGGGAAGAGCGGACGAGGGAGUGGAAAGCCCUCGUCGAGACGGUACCGAGAGAGGAAGCCCCGGCUAACUACGUG